rnacentral:rRNA from 1 species
AGAGUUUGAUCCUGGCUCAGAUUGAACGCUGGCGGCAUGCUUUACACAUGCAAGUCGAACGGCAGCACGGGUGCUUGCACCUGGUGGCGAGUGGCGAACGGGUGAGUAAUGCACCGGAACGUACCCAGUAAUGGGGGAUAACACAUCGAAAGAUGUGCUAAUACCGCAUACGCCCUGAGGGGGAAAGCGGGGGAUCGUAAGACCUCGCGUUAUUGGAGCGGCCGAUGCCGGAUUAGCUAGUUGGUGAGGUAAGAGCUCACCAAGGCGACGAUCCGUAGCUGGUCUGAGAGGACGACCAGCCACACUGGGACUGAGACACGGCCCAGACUCCUACGGGAGGCAGCAGUGGGGAAUUUUGGACAAUGGGCGCAAGCCUGAUCCAGCCAUGCCGCGUGAGUGAAGAAGGCCUUCGGGUUGUAAAGCUCUUUCGCAAGGAAAGAAAACUUAUCUACUAA